UGAUUUGCUUCCUUCUUUGUCAUAUUAAGCCAUAUGAUUGGUGAGUACAUUUUUUCUGGGCAAAUAUUACUUUAAACUAUAUCAAUAUUUCUAACAGACCAACCAUUUGAUGAUUGGAGAGGAAUUGUGCCAACAAAAUCUUUCCAUUUACCUUGUAUCUCCAGUUGGAGUUUCUCUGGAUCAUCAGGAAUGUUUCAAAACUACUGUACUAAAACCUUCAAGAAAAAAGAGCAACAGAAAAUCAAGCCAGAAUCCAAGCUGGAAACCAGGAUAAAUAAAACCGAUAAAUUGGGCAGUAAAGUUAAAAGAAUUGGACCACACACAGAAAUCUUCCAAGGGUUCCAAGAAAGAAGCAGAUUAAUAAUUACCAAAAAAGUAGUUAGGAUGAUUACUCUCAUGCAAGCACGUGUCAGAGGGUGGCUUGAACGCAAGAGACUUCAAAGAAUAAUGGCCAAGGCUUUGUAUCAUGGAUCGAAUUUGAAAGCAGUUAUAGACAUGUAUCGGGGAUUAAUCCACCGUGUUAAAUAUCGACUUGGCCUUUGGAGGACCAGACAAAUUAUUAACCUUGCAGAGCUAGAGGAAUGGAUGGACAGAAAAAAGUUUUAUGAAACAGUGUUUGCCAAGAGAGGAGACUGGCAAGGAUUAGAAAGAAGCAAGCUCCUUAAGUACUUCAAUGACUGUGGUCAUUUCCCAACCCAGGAACAAAUAGAUGAUCAUUGGGACAUGACCUGUAGAGGUGAGUAGUUUCUCAUUUCUCUUUUUUCUUUUUUUCCUUCCAUUUCCUUCCGUCUUCUAACCUUGCUUUUCUUUCCUGUUCUUUCUCUUACUUUUGUUUU
rnacentral:lncRNA from 1 species